AAUGAACGUUGGCGGCGUGGAUUAGGCAUGCAAGUCGAGUGAGAACCGUAGCAAUACGGGGACAGCGGCGAAAGGGAGAGGAAUACGCGGGUACCUACCCUCGGAUCUGGGAUAGCCACGGGAAACUGUGGGUAAUACCAGAUAACGUCUUCGGACCAAAGGUGUGAUUCCGUCCGAGGAGGGGCCCACGUCCUAUUAGCUAGUUGGUGGGGUAAUGGCCUACCAAGGCAAUGAUGGGUACGGGGCGUGAGAGCGUGCCCCCGCUCACUGGGACUGAGACACUGCCCAGACACCUACGGGUGGCUGCAGUCGAGGAUCUUCGGCAAUGGGCGCAAGCCUGACCGAGCGACGCCGCGUGCGGGAUGAAGGCCUUCGGGUUGUAAACCGCCGUCGGAAGGGAGGAAAUGCCUAGGGGUUCUCCCCUAGGUUUGACCUAUCUUCAGAGGAAGUACGGGCUAAGUUCGUGCCAGCCGCCGCGGUAA
rnacentral:rRNA from 1 species